AUAACACUAAUUUAAUAGCACUUUUUCUGAAGUGCUAUUAAAAAUCUCAAUCUGACGCUUAUAAUAGCACUUUUUGUCCGAAGUGCUAUAAUAUAGUGGAAAUAAAUUUUAAGCGGGGCCUUUAAUAGCGCUUUCCUUGCGAGCGCUAUAAAAUAUAUGUCCCUUUGAUAGCACUUUUCAUGAAACGCUAUUAUAGGUCUUUCCGGAAAAGAAAAAAAACACUAAAAUAUUUCGCACUCUCACAAUGCUCAAAAUCGCACUCUCACAAUCGCUUCUUCACAAUCGUGAAUUAGAAACCUUCGCACCUCUUCACGAUUUCAAACGAAUCAAUAAUAUUGCCGCCAUCGUUCAAUCACCUUUGAGUUUUUUUCAAUCGAUCUUCGUUCUCAGAACAAAGUUCAGUCAGGUACAUUCCAAGAUAUACCUUUAGUUGGCUAGUGAAACCCAUGUGGUUGGUCAUAAACUUUCUUCACAGAGCAGCUGACCUGACUCUGGUACCAUCUGUUGCCAUUGGGAGGGAUCUUCAAGCAGCUAGAGUAACAGCAGCUAACAAGAUUCGUCUUUGAAACAAAGGUGUUGAUUUUGAAAGUUUCCAUACUCGAUACCGUUCGCAUGAAAUGAGAUUAAGACCUAAGGUUUGAACCUUUUCUCAUUUUUUUCGUUAUCUACAAGUUUUGGUAAUGAUUGGUUUUCAUGUUAUUCUUACAACAAUGGUGAACCUAAGAAGCCUUUGAUAGUUCAUGUUGGAUGGCUUGGAGUUGAAAAGAGUUUAGAUUUUCUCAAAGGGUAG